rnacentral:piRNA from 1 species
UUCCUGGCCAGUUGAGCUCACGCAAGA